rnacentral:lncRNA from 1 species
UAGGGCUUAGGGUUUUUUAGGGUUUUUUUUUUUUUUUUUUAGGGUUUAGGGGUUUAGGGUUUAGGGGUUUAGGGGUUUAGGGUUUAGGGUUUUAGGGUUUUAGGGUUUAAGGGUUUAGGGUUUAGGGUUUAGGGUUUAGGGUUUAGGGUUUUGUAGUAUCCUGAACUUUGCAAAAAAUUGUGAAGUUGGGAAGUGGGGUUGAGAAGUGGCUUGUACCCACAGGUUUUAUUGUUUGUAAAGGUGUUUUGGGCC